GACGAACGCUGGCGGCGUGCUUAACACAUGCAAGUCGAACGAAGCUUGAUUACGGAUUCUUCGGAUGAAGUAUGAUAUGACUGAGUGGCGGACGGGUGAGUAACGCGUGAGUAACCUGCCCUUCAGAGGGGGAUAGCGUUUGGAAACGAACGGUAAUACCGCAUAAUGUAUUUUGACCGCAUGAUCGAAAUACCAAAGAUUUAUCGCUGAAGGAUGGACUCGCGUCUGAUUAGGUAGUUGGUGGGGUAACGGCCUACCAAGCCGACGAUCAGUAGCCGGACUGGGAGGUUGAUCGGCCACAUUGGGACUGAGACACGGCCCAGACUCCUACGGGAGGCAGCAGUGGGGAAUAUUGCACAAUGGGCGCAAGCCUGAUGCAGCAACGCCGCGUGAAGGAAGACGGUUUUCGGAUUGUAAACUUCUGUUCUUAGUGAAGAAUAAUGACGGUAGCUAAGGAGCAAGCCACGGCUAACUACGUG
rnacentral:rRNA from 1 species